rnacentral:rRNA from 1 species
GUGGGGAAUAUUGGACAAUGGGCGAAAGCCUGAUCCAGCCAUGCCGCGUGUGUGAAGAAGGUCUUCGGAUUGUAAAGCACUUUAAGUUGGGAGGAAGGGCAGUAAGUUAAUACCUUGCUGUUUUGACGUUACCGACAGAAUAAGCACCGGCUAACUUCGUGCCAGCAGCCGCGGUAAUACGAAGGGUGCAAGCGUUAAUCGGAAUUACUGGGCGUAAAGCGCGCGUAGGUGGUUCGUUAAGUUGGAUGUGAAAGCCCCGGGCUCAACCUGGGAACUGCAUCCAAAACUGGCGAGCUAGAGUACGGUAGAGGGUGGUGGAAUUUCCUGUGUAGCGGUGAAAUGCGUAGAUAUAGGAAGGAACACCAGUGGCGAAGGCGACCACCUGGACUGAUACUGACACUGAGGUGCGAAAGCGUGGGGAGCAAACAGGAUUAGAAACCCGUGUAGUCC